UACGUAGGGGGCAAGCGUUGUCCGGAUUCAUUGGGCGUAAAGAGCGUGUAGGCGGCCAGGUAGGUCGGUUGUGAAAACUGGAGGCUCAACCUUCAGACGUCGACCGAAACCAUCUGGCUAGAGUCCGGGAGAGGAGAGUGGAAUUCCUGGUGUAGCGGUGAAAUGCGCAGAUAUCAGGAAGAACACCAGUGGCGAAGGCGGCUCUCUGGAACGGUACUGACGCUGAGACGCGAAAGCGUGGGGAGCGAACAGG
rnacentral:rRNA from 1 species